GAUGCUAACUGUUUGUGGUAUCGACCCCAUGAGUAGCGAAGCUAACGCGUUAAGCAUCCCGCCUGUGGAGUACGGUCGCAAGACUAAAACAUAAAGGAAUUGACGGGGACCCGCACAAGCGGUGGAGCGUGCUGUUUAAUUCGAGGGUAAACGAAGAACCUUACCCAGACUUGACAUCCUGCGAAUUUCUCCGAAAGGAGAGAGUGCUUUAUUGAACGCAGUGACAGGUGCUGCAUGGCCGUCGUCAGCUCGUGUCGUGAGAUGUAUGGUUAAGUCCAUUAACGAGCGCAACCCCUGUAAUUAGUUAAAUUGUCUAAUUAGACCGCCUUGGUAACAGGGAGGAAGGAGGGGAUGACGUCUAGUCCGUAUUGCCCUUACGUCUGGGGCUACAAGCACGCUACAAUGGCUGGUACAAAGGGUAGCCAAAUCGCGAGAUGGAGCAAAUCCCAUCAAAACCAGUCUCAGUUCGGAUAGCAGGCUGAAACUCGCCUGCUUGAAGUUGGAAUCGCUAGUAAUGGUAGGUCAGCUAUACUACCGUGAAUACGUUCUCGGGUCUUGUACACACCGCCCGUCAAGCCAUGAAAGUCGCUAAUACCUGACGUA
rnacentral:rRNA from 1 species